rnacentral:rRNA from 1 species
UCCUGGUGGCGAGUGGCGAACGGGUGAGUAAUAUAUCGGAACGUGCCCAGUCGUGGGGGAUAACGUAGAGAAAUUUACGCUAAUACCGCAUACGAUCUAAGGAUGAAAGCGGGGGACCGUAAGGCCUCGCGCGAUUGGAGCGGCUGAUAUCAGAUUAGGUUGUUGGUGAGGUAAAAGCUCACCAAGCCGACGAUCUGUAGCUGGUUUGAGAGAACGACCAGCCACACUGGGACUGAGACACGGCCCAGACUCCUACGGGAGGCAGCAGUGGGGAAUUUUGGACAAUGGGCGAAAGCCUGAUCCAGCAAUGCCGCGUGCAGGAAGAAGGCCUUCGGGUUGUAAACUGCUUUUGUACGGAACGAAAAGGCCUGCCUUAAUACGGCGGGCCCAUGACGGUACCGUAAGAAUAAGCACCGGCUAACUACGUGCCAGCAGCCGCGGUAAUACGUAGGGUGCGAGCGUUAAUCGGAAUUACUGGGCGUAAAGCGUGCGCAGGCGGUGAUGUAAGACAGUUGUGAAAUCCCCGGGCUCAACCUGGGAAUUGCAUCUGUGACUGCAUCGCUAGAGUACGGUAGAGGGGGAUGGAAUUCCGCGUGUAGCAGUGAAAUGCGUAGAUAUGCGGAGGAACACCGAUGGCGAAGGCAAUCCCCUGGACCUGUACUGACGCUCAUGCAC